GCACUGCACUCGCUUUUCUCGGGCAGAGUUUCGUUUACUUCGCUAUUUUAAAACUUCGGUGCUCUGCUUAGCCGGAGAGAAAACUCGAUUAACUCGUGGGGAGGGGAGAAGUGGAAAUGAAUAUGGGCCGUUAACUGAUUUACCAGAUUGGUCUUAUGUUGAUGGUAGAGAAGAGCCUUCACUUUUAAAAAGUCAGAAACGUAGAUUACGGGAUCAAGCAAGAUAUCAAAACCGGAUUGAUGAACUUUUACAAAGCACAACUGAACCAUUUAUCAAAUAACCUAUAUCUUGAGGGCUACCAAAUAUUUUACUCG